rnacentral:rRNA from 1 species
AUUGAACGCUGGCGGCAUGCCUUACACAUGCAAGUCGAACGGCAGCACGGGGCAACCUGGUGGCGAGUGGCGAACGGGUGAGUAAUGCAUCGGAACGUGCCAUUGAGUGGGGGAUAACGUAGCGAAAGUUGCGCUAAUACCGCAUAUUCUGUGAGCAGGAAAGCAGGGGACCGCAAGGCCUUGCGCUCUUUGAGCGGCCGAUGUCAGAUUAGCUAGUUGGUGAGGUAAAGGCUUACCAAGGCGACGAUCUGUAGCGGGUCUGAGAGGAUGAUCCGCCACACUGGAACUGAGACACGGUCCAGACUCCUACGGGAGGCAGCAGUGGGGAAUUUUGGACAAUGGGCGCAAGCCUGAUCCAGCCAUGCCGCGUGCAGGAUGAAGGCCUUCGGUUGUAAGACGUCUUCUAGCCGGGAAGAAAACGCAACGCUCUAACAUAGCGUGUGGAGUGACGGUACCGGACCGAAGAACGCACCGGCUAACUACG